ensembl:lncRNA
AUAAUGACUUGGACUUUUCUAUGUAUUAAAGUGUAAAUAAACUACCAUCCAUCCUUUUCCUUUAAAAUAAACUGUGGCAUCCUCCUACGUCAAGUAUCUCUUCUUCCGGAACACAUUCCCAAAUGCCCCUGGCUGUAAAUAAUCUCUGCCUUGUCUCAUCCUCCAGCACAUUUUCUUGGUGACAUCUUGAGCUUUUACUGGUUUUUAUCUUGUGUUAGAAUCGUCGGUGAAUGUAUUCCAUCUCCUUUUCCAGUAAUACGACCACUUUGAAAUCAGUUUCUGUUACGUGUGGUUCACAUAACAGAGUGGCAUUUACUUAACAGGCAUUCAAUUCAGAUUCAGUGUUUUCGCAAGCCUCUAUUAGACGCUGCACCAGGGCUGUAAUAUGGGAGCUCACUUAAAUUUUAGCAGCCAUGUGAGAUGGGUGGCGUAUAUUAGCUUCAUUUUAUACUGUAAGGAGACUGAGACUGCAAGAGAGGAAGUGCCUAUUUAAGGCUGUUUAAGUUGAAGUCAGGACCCUGCACUCCAAAUUCCACACCCUUAGCUCCUCGUCCUUGCUCACAAUGAAUGUUUGCUGAGUAGAAAUACAAGCCAAGAAGACGGGACUUCAUUAGUUUAGAGGCUGAUAAAGGCCCGGCAUAAGGCUUGUGUGAUUUUUGUUAGUGGCCGGAAGAGUACCCUCGUGUUGGGGAAAAAAUGAAAAGAAUGUUGGUUCUUAUGAAUGUUUUCUGCUUGCCUGCCAGUUGUCCCCAGAACAUCUGCAAGUUCAGAUGAAAUAUGACUUUCAGAUGAAAGAAUGUUCUAACUGACCCAAGUCUUUCUUCCCUGCAAUGAAAACAAUGGGAAUUUAUACCUUUUUGUUUUGCUGUUAACCAGAUUCCUUGAGAAUCAGUUUCCUUGAUAGAUGAGGUAAAUCUAAUCAGCUGCUGAUCUCCAGGAGACUUAAUGGUUGUGUCUUUGUGUGUGUGUGUGUGUGUGUGUGUGUGUGUUUAUGUAUGCAGCAGAGCUAUGAAAAUCCUGCUUUAUUUUUCUGCUCUACUUUCCCCUUAUUUCCCAUGGCAAUCACUGACCCCAUUCCAAGUUAAAGACCACACCCCCAAAGGUAGCAGAAACCAUGUACAGUGAUGCUGGAUUCAUCUUCCAUGUGAUUAUCUAAGUGUGGCCUCCAAGGAAGUCAUUUCUCCAGCCCUGUUAAUUCCUGACUCUAAUCAGAGCCCCAAAGCCCCUAAUCAAGCUUCUGAGUUUGGUGAUGGCAAGUGCCUUCAUGACCAUCUGGGAAGAAAACAUGCCAAGAGGAAGCUUCUGCCAGAUGACAGUGGUUAAGCCACAGCACCUGCUGGACAGAUGCAUCUUGAAUAGCAGGAUAAGCCCCUUCUCCCUGGGGAACGUGGCAGAGAGUGCCCAGAGGAGAAAUGAUCAUCCAUGGCUAGAACUCAGUGAGGCUAGUUUUCCACGGGGUUACCAGUCCUCUUGUGGCCCCCUGGUAUGAUAAUUCUCAUUUUAGAGAUGCAUACACUGAGUCAUCUCUGACUCAACCCUUCCACUACAAGGACUGACUGUAGAGUCUUUCUGGGUCCAGUCCUAACCUCCUUUUAUGGCAGGGUGGACACCAUGACCAAGAGGUUCACACCAACUCUACCUUGGAUCAAAUCCCAGCAACAGAGUAGAGAUGCUGAGAUGCUGGCAGAGGGUAACGAAGAUGGAUGUGCCCUGGUGCCCUUGCCUGCUUCCAGGUCUGCAUGUAGAUGAAUUUGACUUCUAGGCACCAGAUCUUUCCAGUGUAAGGUACUGGGUGGAAAUGAAGGGUGAUGUAUAUUCUGCCUUGAAGACACGUCUCAAGGAGCGUUCUUUCUUAGAGUAUAUUCUUACAUCAAGGAACUGGUCCUGGUGGGAGAUGAUCAGAAGGCAGUCAUUCAUUUCCUCAUUCAUUGAACAAGUCAUUUAAAAACACUAUGCCUGGGUGGGCUCCAAAGGUAUGACAGGGAGCAGGGCUGACAUGGGCUAGGUUCUGAACAUGCACUUACAGGAUGUCUAAUUCUGGGUGAAUAUGGAGAGAACUGGGCUUCCCUGGUGGUUCUUUACCACUAGUGCCACAUGGGGAGACGGAAUAUUAACAGCAUAGUAGUUAAGAGCAGGAAUGGAGCCAGACUGCAGGAAUUCAGCUCUUGUCUCUACUGCUCAAAAGCCAAGUCCGUUGGACAAGGCCUCAGUUUCCUCGUCUGUAAAAGCAGCUGGAAGAACACCUAUCUGUCCAGUGUGUCAGGGAGUCACCAGGUCUCCAGUGUUCAGUGACGCCUGAUGCACUGUGGGAACCUGAUGAGCAGGAGUCGUAUUUUUCUUCACACUGACCGGGGCUCCUGCUGCUGUGGGAGAGAGCGUUCUGAGGUUCCCUGACUCAGGGUGUAGGCCCUGCCACUGGUUAACCUGUGGCUGGAACAAGUAGGCUUUGCCCUGCUCUGGAUUCUGAGUCCCCUCAGCUUGGAGGGCAGGCAGGUGGUCUUCCAGGCUCUCCAGUUCCCUCACCGUCUAUAGGUAUCACCUUCUGUCUGUCCAGUGGUUCCACUUUCAGAACCAUUCAAAAAUGGCAGACACACAGACGUCCUAAGCUAUUUCUCAGCCCCCCCGCCCCUGAAAGGGGGAGGCGAGGUGGGCGGUGGACAGGAGGCAGUGAAAAGGUCCC